UGCGAUCAUACCAGCACUAAUGCACCGGAUCCCAUCAGAACUCCGCAGUUAAGCGUGCUUGGGCGAGAGUAGUACUAGGAUGGGUGACCCCCUGGGAAGUCCUCGUGUUGCA
rnacentral:rRNA from 2 species